AUUCAGCUGACGAGCCUAAGACAGAACGAAACGAGCGUCCUGGAU
rnacentral:hammerhead_ribozyme from 1 species